rnacentral:rRNA from 1 species
CCUACGGGAGGCAGCAGUGAGGAAUAUUGCACAAUGGGGGAAACCCUGAUGCAGCGACGCCGCGUGAGUGAAGAAGUAUUUCGGUAUGUAAAGCCCUAUCAGCAGGGAAGAAAAUGACGGUACCUGACUAAGAAGCCCCGGCUAACUACGUGCCAGCAGCCGCGGUAAUCCGUAGGGGGCAGGCGUUAUCCGGAUUUACUGGGUGUAAAGGGGGCGUGGACGGUGAUGCAAGUCAGAAGUGAAAGCCCGGGGCUCAACUCCGGGACUGCUUUUGAAACUGUGUGACUGGAGUGCAGGAGAGGUAAGCGGAAUUCCUGGUGUAGCGGUGAAAUGCGUAGAUAUCAGGAGGAACACCAGUGGCGAAGGCGGCUUACUGGACUGUAACUGACGUUGAGGCUCGAAAGCGUGGGGAGCAAACAGGAUUAGAUACCCUGGUAGUC